rnacentral:rRNA from 1 species
GCGAACGCGGACCAGGCCAGUGCCUGAUUGUAAAUUAGCAGAACAUUCUGGAAAGUUUGACCAUAGUGGGUGACAGUCCCGUAUGCGAAAAUGAUCAAUCAGGACUCGAGUAGGGCGGAACACGUGAAAUUCUGUCUGAACAUGGGGGGACCACCCUCCAAGCCUAAGUACUCCCCAGCGACCGAUAGUGAACAAGUACCGUGAGGGAAAGGUGAAAAGUACCCUGAA